rnacentral:rRNA from 1 species
UACGUAGGAGACGAGCGUUGUCCGGAGUUACUGGGCGUAAAGGGUGCGCAGGCGGCCUGGCGCGUCGCGAGUGAAAUCUCCCGGCUCAACUGGGAGGGUGGUCGCGAGACGGCGAGGCUUGAGGCUCGGUGAGGGGCGUGGAAUUCCGGGUGGAGCGGUGAAAUGCGUAGAGAUCCGGAGGAACACCAACGGCGUAGGCAGCGCCCUAGACGAGACCUGACGCUCAGGCACGAAAGCGCGGGAGCGAACAGG